rnacentral:tRNA from 1 species
GCCAGCAUGGCACAGUGGUUUGAGUGUUGGGCUAUGACUCUAGGGACCAGGAUUCAAUUCCCAGCUUGGCC